CCUACGGGUGGCAGCAGUGGGGAAUAUUGGACAAUGGGGGGAACCCUGAUCCAGCCAUGCCGCGUGUGUGAAGAAGGCCCUCGGGUUGUAAAGCACUUUCAGUGAGGAAGAACGCCUGGUGGUUAAUACCCAUCAGGAAAGACAUCACUCACAGAAGAAGCACCGGCUAACUCCGUGCCAGCAGCCGCGGUAAUACGGAGGGUGCGAGCGUUAAUCGGAAUUACUGGGCGUAAAGCGCGCGUAGGUGGCUUGAUAAGCCGGUUGUGAAAGCCCCGGGCUCAACCUGGGAACGGCAUCCGGAACUGUCAAGCUAGAGUGCAGGAGAGGAAGGUAGAAUUCCCGGUGUAGCGGCGAAAUGCGUAGAGAUCGGGAGGAAUACCAGUGGCGAAGGCGGCCUUCUGGACUGACACUGACACUGAGGUGCGAAAGCGUGGGUAGCAAACAGGAUUAGAUACCCUUGUAGUC
rnacentral:rRNA from 1 species